GACGUAGGGCGCGAGCGUUGUCCGGAUUUAUUGGGCGUAAAGAGCGUGUAGGCGGCCAUACAGGUCAGCUGUGAAAACUCGAGGCUCAACCUCGAGAUGUCGGCGGAAACCAUCUGGCUAGAGUCCGGAAGAGGAGAGUGGAAUUCCUGGUGUAGCGGUGAAAUGCGCAGAUAUCAGGAAGAACACCCGUGGCGAAGGCGGCUCUCUGGGACGGUACUGACGCUGAGACGCGAAAGCGUGGGGAGCGAACAGG
rnacentral:rRNA from 1 species